GACGAACGCUGGCGGCGUGCUUAACACAUGCAAGUCGAACGGAAAGGCCCUGCUUUUGUGGGGUGCUCGAGUGGCGAACGGGUGAGUAACACGUGAGUAACCUGCCCUUGACUUUGGGAUAACUUCAGGAAACUGGGGCUAAUACCGGAUAGGAGCUCCUGCUGCAUGGUGGGGGUUGGAAAGUUUCGGCGGUUGGGGAUGGACUCGCGGCUUAUCAGCUUGUUGGUGGGGUAGUGGCUUACCAAGGCUUUGACGGGUAGCCGGCCUGAGAGGGUGACCGGCCACAUUGGGACUGAGAUACGGCCCAGACUCCUACGGGAGGCAGCAGUGGGGAAUAGUGCACAAUGGGCGGAACCCUGAUGCAGCAACGCCGCGUGCGGGAUGACGGCCUUCGGGUUGUAAACCGCUUUCGCCUGUGACGAAGCGUGAGUGACGGUAAUGGGUAAAGAAGCACCGGCUAACUACGUG
rnacentral:rRNA from 1 species